UACGUAGGGCGCAAGCGAUACUCGGAAUCACUAGGCGUAAAGCGCAGGUAGGCGGUUUGGUAAGUCUUUUGUGAAAGCUCCUGGCUCAACUGGGAGAGGUCAAGGGAAACUACCGGACUAGAGUGUGGUAGGGGAUACUGGAAUUCCUGGUGUAGCGGUGAAAUGCGUAGAUAUCAGGAGGAAUACCUAUGGCGAAAGCAGGUAUCUGGGCCAUCACUGACGCUGAGCUGCGAAAGCUAGGGGAGCAAACAGG
rnacentral:rRNA from 1 species